GAUGCUCAUAAGACCAAGUGAACUUAAAUAAAAAUUGGGCUUCAACUGAAAACACAAUUGGACCCAGGUAACCCAAAAAAAACCCAAUUUUCAGCCCAGCCCUCUCACCCAUUCUCAUUUCUCAGCCCUCGACUCUCUCUCCCUCAGCCCCUUUUCGUUUCUCUCUCUUCAAGAAUUUAGGGAUUAGGGUUUUCGAAUCUGAUGCCUGUGAUUUUCCUUCGCUUUCUUUCAUUUUCUCACCUGCCAAACACAUGUUAAUUACUAUUAUUAAGAGGGUCUGUGAAGGAGUUUUCAUUAAUUCCCACUCUGAGUCUAACCUAAAGUGAUUUUCUUUUACUUUCUCAGCUGCCAAACAAAUCUAAUUUUCUCUCUCACUCACUUUUUCAGACCGUGUUGUCUCUUGCCUUUGUUUCAAAUGUUCAACAAUGCUAACAAGAAAACUGCUAGUGUUAUAGGCCUUCAUAUCUGUCCUAAAAGAUUACAUCCAUAAUCUGGGAAGUGCAGGAUGUGACAAAUAUAGAGGCAAAUGUAUCAGCAAUAAUCGCAGCAAACUAGGGGGUUAAAAAAAGAAGCACACAGCAGUGGAUUAUCAGAUUUGCAGUUCUUUUUUCAUGUUAAAAAUCAGAAAGUCUUCGGAUAUGAAGAUCAUUGCUUCUUUAUAAAUGCAAGGCCUUUCAUUUUAGUAUAUUAUUGACUCUCCAAAAAUCCUUUAUAAAUGAAUUAAUUUAUGAUAUAUAUAUAUAUAUAUAUAUUUUUUUUUUUCUGUAACGCAACAAUUUAAGUUGAUUGAAGCUAAUUGCUAUCAUAGCAAGGGAAAGCUUGAUUUUGUGUGAAGUUAAUUGAUAUCCUCAAGGCAUUUUGACAAGAAAAUGCAGCAUGUGAAACAUAAGAGUUUGAAAUUCCUUUUUGUUCCCAGGGUGGUCUAUAAAUAUUUAUUUAAAAUUAUCAAAAAAGAAAAGCAAAGAUGACCUGUUUCAAAUUCUGUAUAAUAUUUGUUAAUUGGUCACCCAGCCUUUUGUAUCCCAUAACAAUUAACAAUAUAAUAUUGUUCCUCCUUUAACUAAACAUGCAUUGUUAUAUGGAAAUGAUAAUGAUCCUAUCCAUGUCUGUGUAUUGAUAUGAUGGACAUGAGUUCAUUUGUAUGAUCUUUGACAUGCUAGUUUUAACCUCAGCUCAAGUCUAAUCAUUUGAAUGGUUCAACAUGCUGAAUUUUUGUUGUUGUAACACUUCAUUGGUCAUGUCAGUUAGUAUAUUGUCCAUGUCAUUAUUGGUGUUGCAGUAACUAAGAGGUGGAAUUUUGAACAAUGGCAAUGGUAUAAAUACAUGUGAUUUCUAGUUAGAUGUGCUGCUGUUAAACAGGUGAUAGACGAAUCUGCAAAGUUUGACAUUCUUCUAAAGGUCAAGAGGGGAAGCAAAUAAGAGAAGUUUAAAGUGGAAGUUAAUGAAGGUAGCUUCCACUUGAAUCAGAUGGAACUUCACAGAGUCCUAAUUUCAUUGUUCAGUGGGUAUACCGAUGGUGUUAUCAGAGCGUGGGGCAUUGGUUGCUACCAGUAAAGCUUCAGAAAUUUGAUAUGCAUUUCUGUUUUGAGCUAUGUUGCAUGGACACUAACACGGGUAUGGAUACGAUACGGGUACGGGUACGGGGGUACAGUAAUUUUUGAAAAACAAGGGUACAACACGUCUAGGAUACGGCAAUUAAUUAAUUAAUAAAUAUAUUUAGGUAUAUUUUUAGACAAAAUAUGUUUAUUUUAGGAUUUAAAUUAAGUAAUAACAGCAAAUAAGUACAAUAACACUACAAAAAUGUUGUCUAAAAUACAAUUUUUGUUCCAUUACUAAAUUACUAAACCCAUAAGAUAGAUAAAACCAAAUAAUAAAUAAAUAAAUAAACAAACCUAUAAAAUAAGUAACUAUUAUAUUAAAAAAAAAAAAAAAAAAAAAAAAAAAAAACCCAAAGAAAGAGAGUCGAAAGACCAAAAGGUAGAGAACCCAAAAUUUGCAGGGAGAGAAAUGACGGAGGGAGAGAGAAGGAGGUUUGAGGUCGUCAGAGGCUGGAGGGGAUUGGUUAUUGACGAUCUACUCCAAGAAGGCACAAUGCAUAGUUUAGAUUAGAGAGAGAAACAGUAGAGGGAGAGAAAAGGAGCUUUGGGGUCGCUAGAGGGGGUUUGGUUGUCAUCGAGAAGGCACACCACACGGAUCAGAUUAGAGAGCUGAGGGAAAGAGAGAGAUCAGAUCAGAGAACUGAGGAAAAGAGAAAGGCAUUGGUCCAAAUCCUGUUCUCUCUCUCUCUCUCUCUCUCUCUCUCUCUCCUCUUUUAUUUUUUAAUUUUUCAAUUUAUUUUUUAAUUUUUUAAUUUUUAAUUUUUAUUUUUUUUAUUAUUAUUUUUUUUUUAGUUUUGCCGUGUCUAGGACAUUUUGGCAUGUUGCAAUUGUGUCAGCAAUGUACCCAGAUUUUUUUCAAAAAAAAAAAAAAAAAAAAAAGGAAGAAGAAGAAGAAGAAGAAGAAGAAGAGAGGAUAUGCCUUGGGUAUGGACUUUAGAUGUCAUACUAGUACUCGUGUCGAACAUGGGUACUUGGCCAAAAUCGUUGUGUCUUUGCAACAUAGGUUUUGAGAGCAAACAAGUUACUCUUGAUAA